rnacentral:rRNA from 1 species
GAUGGGCCCNCGGCCUAUCANCUUGUUGGUGGGGUAAUGGCCUACCAAGGCGACNACGGGUAGCCGACCUGAGAGGGUGACCGGCCACACUGGGACUGAGACACGGCCCANACUCCUACGGGAGGCAGCAGUGGGGAAUAUUGCACAAUGGGCGAAAGCCUGAUGCAGCGACGCCGCGUGAGGGAUGACGGCCUUCGGGUUGUAAACCUCUNUCAGCAGGGACGAAGCGCAAGUGACGGUACCNGCAGAAGAAGCACCGGCUAACUACGUGCCAGCAGCCGCGGUAAUACGNAGGGUGCAAGCGUUGUCCGGAAUUACUGGGCGUAAAGAGUUCGUAGGCGGUUUGUCGCGUCGUUUGUGAAAACCAGCAGCUCAACUGCNGGCUUGCAGGCGAUACGGGCA